rnacentral:rRNA from 1 species
UACAGAGGUCUCAAGCGUUGUUCGGAUUCAUUGGGCGUAAAGGGUGCGUAGGUGGCGCGCUAAGUCAGGUGUGAAAUCUCGGGGCUUAACUCCGAAACUGCAUUUGAUACUGGCGUGCUUGAGGACUGGAGAGGAGACUGGAAUUCAUGGUGUAGCAGUGAAAUGCGUAGAGAUCAUGAGGAAGACCAGUGGCGAAGGCGGGUCUCUGGACAGUUCCUGACACUGAGGCAACGAAGGCCAGGGGAGCAAACGGG